rnacentral:lncRNA from 1 species
CGUCCGCCUAUAACACACUCGCCAUGCCAUGAAAAAUUAGUCUUACUAAACCUUGAUGGAAGCAUUUAUAAUUUUCGAAUAAAAAAAGUCUGCCAAGUAAAUACUAAAUACACCCAUAAUACUAAAAUCUUCAUAAUAAGGGGGCAAACAUGAAUUUUAAACUGUAUUUGAAUUGUAGGGAACAAAAUAUGCUAACAUCCCACAAAAUUUUCAACAUUCAAAAGAAUCAGUAUGGCUCUGUUCUUCAACCAAGACAUUCCAUCUGAUUCACGACACACAAAUACAAAGAAUUGCAAUAAUUGUCUUGAGUUUCACUUAUAAAUAAAACAUUUCUUCACAUUCUGUCUUCUCUCUGCCAUGGGGCACAAGUGAUGACUUCGUCGACCCUUAAAUAAUUGUCUUGAAUGACUCGGAUAUCCCCAGCUCUGCCAUAUUGCCACCCUACACAAAAUAGCAACCAUCAAAAUAGCCAUGGUGGAAAUCACAAGCAAGAACUGUGAAACCGUAAAACAUGCGAUGCAUAAGCCAUAUCUAAAAUUUUAUUGUGUUCAUUCUCGUCCGACCAUGACAUUGGUUCCUUAUACCUAACUUUGUGACCACCCAUGUUGAAGCUAUAUUCAUAUACAUCAAAUUAUCAUCAAAUAUGUAAGACCUUCCGUAGGCGAUUUGAGGACAUAUUAAUGUAUUUAAUUAUAGUCACAUACCACCAAUUGCUCAAAAGCAUACCUAACACAUGUACGCAUAAUUAUAAGCAUCAACAUCUAUACACACACAAGCAUCAACAACAAACGAUCCAACAAAUCAUAGAAUACAGACAAAAUCAUCGUUUACGUAUUAGAUUUACCUAAUUGAAACAGGGAGAUCUAUAGUUUACACCAAAAGAGUUUACACCAAAAUCAUCAACAACAAACUAUCCAACAAAUCAUAGUAUAUUGAACAUGUCAAUUUUUUUUUUGGGUACAAUUUUACAAGACUCAGUACAUAUUUAAUACAAAAUAUUAUUAUAUGCGACUGAAUUAAUCAGUAAGUUUAAAUUCAAUUUACUUUUAAAUAUUAUUACAAUCCUCCAAUGGUGGCAGCCAUGAAAUAUUAGAUUUGAUGGCUGUGGACAGACGCCAGUGGUUAUAUCCCAACUCCAACCACACAACCAGAGAGAAAAAUUGAGAAGAGCAUUUACCCAAAACAAAUUAUUUCUUACGACUAAAAAUCAAAGAAAAAGGAUUUUAAAAAACCCAGUAGUUAUUCAGAUUGUUAUCUAAUUAAAAAUCGCAAAUUCAUAAAUAAAUGGAUUAUCUGUCCAUAAUUUCCUAACAAUGUUUUCGUUGAAACUAAAAACUAAAUACUAAAUAAAAAAAACUGGAAUUCAGGCACAGAAGAUAUAUGGAUUAUAUGCCCAAAACUACCUUUCCAUAUCUUCAAUGGAAUUAUGGAAUUCACAUCUCAAUGGAUUAUAUGCCCAUAACUACCUUUGCAAUCUCAGUAUACGUAUUUUGAAGCACUCACUAUUUCAAAUAGCAAAU